rnacentral:sRNA from 4 species
UGUAUCUGAAGUCUGACGAGGAUGAGAACCUCCGGGGGCAAGAGGUUCGACUCGAGCGAAGCGAGAGAACGUUGCGUCAGCAACGGCCCGCAGGGCGAGCCACGC